UGGGGUGUAGCCAAGUGGUAAGGCCACGGUCUCUGACUCCGUUACGCGUAGGUUCGACCCCUACCACCCCAGCCA
rnacentral:tRNA from 1 species